rnacentral:lncRNA from 1 species
AGAUGCUGCCGGCAACCUAGUCUGCAAACGUCUCCACUCCUGCAAUGGCUGCCUUUGCUAUGAGUAUGACCACAUCAUCCCAUUUUCAAAAGGAGGUGAAUCUGUGGUGGAGAAUUGUCAAAUUCUGCAAACCAGGGCAAAUAGGUUGAAGUCAGACAACAAUGGAAUUGACAUGACUCAACUGAAAGGUUACUCUUGUGACUUGAAGUUCAGUGAUGAUGAACUUGACAUUAUUGAAAUGGCUGUUUAUGGAGAUGUUAUGCGUCCUGGAAAACAAUGUCGUGUUGGAAGUAUUGAUGCAAUGCUUGGAAAAUGCAAGUCCAAAGAUCUUACGAUGACAUGCAAGUUGCCACAGAUUGAAGAGUCCUUGUCAUAAUGAUGGAUUUGAAAUCUUAUAAACUUAAAAAAGAAAGUGAAUAUAGAUUUGGUCGUUCAAAAUCUUAUUUUUUGUACAAUUUGUUCUCUUUUUAAAAUUUUUUGUAUUCGCACUGCUUCUGUGAGCAUUUUAUUUUUGAAAUAAACUUAUUUUGUUUAUCCUGUCCCACAUUUAGGACUGAAAAUAAAAUUUUCCUGCUACCUCUACAACAAAUUGUAUUCAGCAAGAAUUUACACAGGGACUUCAAACAAUUGCAUUUCCAUUGGUUCUUUUAAAAAUCCGAGCGUAGGCUAUUAUCUAUUAUUGUUUUUGAACAUUACAGGUGUAUAUAAAGGCCACGGGAGAAAAGAGUGCAGAAAUGGUAACUGAUGAAGGAGCAAUAUAUAUUACAUCAAACAAUGGAUACAACUGGAAAGCUGCUGUGCAGGAAACCGUUUCAGCUACUUUAAACAGGUAAAUUUCUUCCAAGGUGAUACGCCUAGUAGAUGGUCUAGCCUGGACAUAUAUACAAUUGAGGAACCAUUAUAAGCUCUAUAGUAUUUCAUUCUGCUAUGCAUGUAUCGCUGUUUAAUAUAUACAUAACGUCUUAAGUUUGGGCCUCAUGAAUUAUUUUGCAUUUUCUAGAUAUCUUCUCUAAAAUACUGUUCUCAUGGCAUCAUUAUGUCCUCUCAUGAUUAGUAUCUGGAUCCCAUUUCUAGCUUUAUUUCUGUAAUCUUGUCAUUUUCCUUUUUCUCUCUUUGGGAUGACCUGAGAGGAAAGAGUUAACGAGUUUACAAGCAAGAAAGAGCUAACAGAUUAUGAAGUUUUUUAUCAACUUAUAUCAUCACCGAAAUUCAAUAAUAACUUCUGCAUAACCUAAUGUUGUUGCAGAACAGUUUCUAGUGGUAUUAGUGGCGCGAGCUAUUACACAGGAACUUUUAAUACUGUGAAUCGCUCACCUGAAGGAAAUUAUGUUGCUGUUUCAAGCCGUGGUAACUUCUAUUUGACAUGGGAACCAGGGCAGGUGAGAUUCUAUAACUGAACUAUCCUAUUAUUCUAAGGAGUAUUUACUUUUAUCUUCUCCUUCACUAGAGCAAUAUUUCAAUUUUUGCCAGAUUCGGUAACAAGACCCAGAAGUAUCUUGUUUCUGUUCAUUUUUCCAUUGUCUCUUUGUUUAGGAAUUUUUUUAUAUAUAUAAAAAAUGUCACCACAUUCUAGCUUAAAAUGUUGCUCAUGGUUAUGCAUAUCUUAGGCAUACUGGCAGCCACAUAACAGGGCUGUUGCAAGACGAAUCCAGAACAUGGGCUGGCGAGCUGAUGGUGGUCUCUGGCUUCUUGUACGUGGUGGAGGGCUUUAUCUCAGCAAGGGCACUGGGGUGAGUAAGCUUUAUAUUUUCUUUGUUAAUUUUAUCUCAAUCAUAGUACUGAACAAUGUUGGUCAUUUGUUUUUGUAUUAUGAAAGUUUAACAUUGGGCGUUCAUGAAAUUUUUUUCUGAAUAAUGAAGGUAAAAUUUUUACAAUCUUGAAAUCUACUCUAUUUUUAUAGAUAGGCACCAUAACAUUUUUUUCUUUUUUGGCUAUUUAUGUGGCCCCUUUUACUCUUUGUCAAACAUACUCAAUAAGAUUCGAUGCCCCUCAAUGUUGAGGUUCUCUCAUUAUAUAGAACCAAAAUCAUAGUUAUAUAUGGUAAAAGCAAUCUAUGUAUUUAUGGUAUAAUUAUAAUGAUAAAAUAAUCGUAAUCUUUGAGGAUAUCCAUAAUUUUAUUCGAUCCCCGUAAUCUCUUUCAAUCUCAUUAACUUCCCCCUCAAAUUGAUGUCGGUAAAAGUAUCAAUUUGCAAUAAUGAACCGACGGGGAUGACAAUGCUCUGAGAUCAUGUCAAGAUCUAGAGUUUUAUUUUAAAAGGUUAACCUUAUUAAAUGGAGUAGUUCAAACUCUUAUAAAUUAGUCUAUAUUUUUCUUCUUUAAUCGAUGUGAGAUUUUAAUGUGCUCAUUUUUUUACUCUUUAUUAGAUUGAAUUGCUUGUUAAAACUUAAUGUGCUCUGAUACCAUGUUAAACAUACUGAUUAAUACUCAAUAAGACUCGAUGCCUCUCAAUGUAGAUGUUCUCUCAUUAUAUAUAACCAGAAUCAUAGUUAAAUAUGGUAAAAACAAUAUAUCUAUAUAUGGUAUAAUAAUUAUGAUAAUAUAAUCAUAAUCUUCGACGAUCUCCAUCAUCUUAUUCGAUCCCCGUAAUCUCAUUCAAUCUCAUUAACACUCGUUAACAUCACAUUGAUUAAUUUAGUCAAUGGUAAAAUACCCACCUAUUUCUAAGAAUAUUAUGGGAGAGAGAAAUUUGAGUAUAAGUCGAUGUGUAAUUCAAAGCUCUCACAGAACCAGGCAGGUUUGGGUCAAGAUUAUCUACUGUGAAAAUCAUUUAUUUGCUUGAGAGUUUGGUGAAAAAUUCUAGAGAGAACAAACAAUCUUUGCAUAUGGUCUUUUAUUGAUUUAUUUAAAGCUUAUGAUAUGUUGCCCACGGAAGUAUAUGGCUUGUUCUAGAAUUAGAGGAAUUUCUGUUAGAUAUCAGUGUUAUUAAGGAUAUGCAGGAUGAGGUAAUAAUGAGUCUGACUAGUGUUGAUACCAUUGAAUUUCCUACUAAUGUAGGCUUGCAUUAUGGUUCUAUCUUAGUCUAUGUUUUUCGCUUCAGUCAUGGAUGGGCUUACAGAAGAUUAUCUAUGAUACUGUUCCUCGGCCACUAUAGAUCUUAAGUUAUCCUAAAGAGUGAUUGCUUUAGGUAUUUAGGCUUUUUUAUUUGUAAUGAAGGAUGACUUGAAAAUGACGUAAUGCAUAGGAUUAAAGAGGGUUGGAUGAGAUGGAAGAAGGGUACAAACUUUCUAUGGGAUAGGACGAUAAUACAUAACAGUAAGCUGACAUUCUAUGCUUUAUAGUACUGAGUGUUAGGUUGUUAAAGAACAGACUGAUGGAGUAUGGAUGUGGAAGAAAUUGGGAUGUUAAGAUGGAUGUAUAGCCCUAUUAAAAUGAACGAGGUAAUAAAAGAAAACAUAAAGCAACAAGUGGAGUUAGGACACCAAUUGAGGAUGAAUUGGAUGCCAUAUCAAGUGCUGAGUAUGAAUACACAGAACUUUGUGUAUGAUGGUUAUGAGGUGCAUUCCAGAGAUGUGUUGCAAGCCUAUGAAUUUGAUUGUGAUUACCAGGAAGCUAUCCACAUUUCUAAGCUUGCAAACUUAAUUCAGAUUCAUAUCUACCCCCAGAAAACUCAGAAAAGUCACCCUGUAUAACAACAAAUUUAGCCUAUGUUUGGCUCAUGUUUAUAUAUUGUUUAUAAACACUCAAGCUACUUUUUAUCCACACAUUUGUAGGGACCCACAAGUACUACCCAUUUAUCCAUCACUCAUUUCUAUCUAUUUAUAAUUUAAAUUGUUUAUAAAUACUUCCCAAACAUGCUUUAUGUCUUAUUCUCAGUAAAUUUAGAGUUGGUUAUAUGAUCCGCUUUUUGCUAUUCUGUUUAAACCAUUGCUACAUGAGCAGAAAAUUCAAUGCAGUUAAAUUCUUCAAAUCAGAUUAUGUUAAAGUUUGGUCGACCUCUUCGUUUUCUAACUUGUCCUAAUACAUCACUCUUGUGAAUGCAAAAUAUCUUUAGUUGUACGGCAGCAAUCACCCAAGUCUUCCUUUGGGUAAUUUACUGUCCACUCGUCCAUAUUAACAUCCAAAUUUUCAUUGCAUUCAUUACAGACUUUUAUUUUUUAGGAAAAAAGACUCAGUAUAACAAGUCCGACAUUUGCCUUUUCGCCUCUCUACACUCAUCUAGUUAAUAAAUUCAAACUUAUCGAGCACGAGCACUCAACAUUUCAAAUAAUGAUAUAGAGUAAAUUUUUCGACAUUAGGUUUGUUAUGGAUUCAGUUGGUGUUUUGUGUAUAUUAAUUUUGUUUAUUGAGGAGUAAAAUUAAUUAACUGCCUCCUAGUAAAAUGAAUUAAUGGAGUUGGAACUUUCUAGUUUAUUCCUUUUCUAACAUUGUCACUAUUUGAAAAGGCGUAUCCUGCAAUUUUUUUUUUGUUUUUGUUUUUGUUUUUGUUUUUGUUUUUUGUUUUUUGUUUUUUUUUUUGUUUUUUUGUUUUUUAAAAUUCAAGUACUGCCUCCCUAAUUCAAUUUUUAGGUUACUUAUAAUGCUCUCUGUUAAUAUACUUCUCUUUGCAGAUGUGAUUGUGCUUUCUAAGAUAGCGUUCUCCUUCUUAUUUUGUAAUUUACUUGAUAACUCUGCUUUCUCUGAAUAAAGUGUCAAAUUUUGUUUUGUCAAAUUCCAGAUAACAGAAGAAUUUGAAGAAAUACCGGUGCAAAGUCGUGGUUUUGGCAUUCUUGAUGUUGGGUACCGUUCUCAGGUAUAUAUGAUUUUAAACAAUUAUGAUAUUUUGAAUUUAUAGAGGAAAAGAUGGUGAAAAAAAGAAUCAAUAUUACAUUUUAAGAUGUGAAGGAAGCCAUACGGUGGCCAUUGCUAUUCACACCUUAGAAGAUUUCUAAAUAAGGUUCCUAGACAGAAGGGACUCGUGUACAUAAAAUUCUUCUACUAUUUAAGUUAGAUCUCAAAAUUUAAUAUAAAGUUUAAAACUAAUCUAUUUGUAGAAAGGGAAUUUCUCAAUGAUAAUUGGCAAGCAGAUAAGGUUACAUGUGUCACACCUCCAUAUGAUUUGGCAGUGGCAAUGAGUACCACGACAAACAUGAGUGCUCCUUAAGUGUUCCAAGAAUCAAAAGUGUAGCUUCAGUUUAAGUCGAACUUCGUUUGAUAAAGAAUAGAUCAUUUCAAAAAUUUAUCGUGCUACUAUUUUAAUGUCCAUGUUCAAGAAAAAUAGUAGGAGUGAAACAGAUAAGAGAUCGAAGCAUGUGGUGGCUACACCACUUCUUUGCAUGUUGAAUAUGUUGGCUGCAUGUCCUUACAUUUAUUUUAACUAAAAAUUGAAUAAUUACAUAAAAAGAAGGGCUAAAUUAAGCGGGGACAUAAAUAUUAUUUGCCAGUUUAUGGAGAAUGAGAGCUACCAGGAAGAACAAGAAGUAAAUUUCAAUUCAACUAAAUUAAACCACAAAAAGAAAAAAUCUGACUUUGCUUCUAUAAUUUUUUGCGGAUUAUAUAUUUCUAAAAUCCUUGGAAAAAGUUCAUGUUUACAUUGGCUUAAUACCAUAGAUAAUUGACAUCCUUAAUUUAUAGAAAUUGCAUAAAUAAAAAUUUUAAUUCCAAAUUAAUUAGUUAAAUCCUAUAAUCUAAUAAUUAAUAUUAUCUGUUCAAUAUCUUCAUGUCAUCAAUCACCCCCCUUUUGUGGCAGAAGAAAUCAAUACCUUUCAGAUUGAAUGUUGAUUAUAUAUGAGCCACUUAAUUUGUUCUCUAAAAAAAAUUAUUGCUUCUGCUAUGUUUUUUGAUCAUUAUAUAGUCAGAAAUUUUUAAAUGCUGUGCGACUCAUUAUCUUGCUGAUAUAAUGUUGUAGGAGGAGGCUUGGGCUGCUGGUGGCAGCGGAAUUCUUCUAAAAACCAAGAAUAGUGGGAAGACAUGGAUUCGUGACAAAGCAGCUGAUAACAUUGCUGCCAAUCUGUAUUCUGUAAAGUGAGAUAAUUUUUUCUUCACAAUAAUGAAUUGCUUUACUUAAUUCUAUCAAAAAUAUUUUGAAUAAAUGGCACCUAAGCAUUUCUGCAUCAUCAUCGUCAUUAUCAUUUCCAAAUAUAUACUCACUUUUUGCUUCAUUCUAUAUUUACUUUAGUUUGAAACAUUUGUCUACUGAAAAUUUAUUAUUAAAAUUUUCUGGAAGAUGAUUCAUUCUACUGAAAAUUUAUUAUUAAACGUCUGUCUUGCGCCAUUGAUAAAAAUUUUAAUAUCAAUUUUCUUUUCUCCAGCAUUUCGAUUAGUCUAGAACCUCACAACUCGUUAAUAUAUCUGCUGCAGGUUUAUCAAUGACAAACAAGGGUUUGUGCUAGGGAAUGAUGGUGUCAGACAGAAGGGACUCGUGUACAUAAAAUUCUUCUACUAUUUAAGUUAGAUCUCAAAAUUUAAUAUAAAGUUUAAAACUAAUCUAUUUGUAGAAAGGGAAUUUCUCAAUGAUAAUUGGCAAGCAGAUAAGGUUACAUGUGUCACACCUCCAUAUGAUUUGGCAGUGGCAAUGAGUACCACGACAAACAUGAGUGCUCCUUAAGUGUUCCAAGAAUCAAAAGUGUAGCUUCAGUUUAAGUCGAACUUCGUUUGAUAAAGAAUAGAUCAUUUCAAAAAUUUAUCGUGCUACUAUUUUAAUGUCCAUGUUCAAGAAAAAUAGUAGGAGUGAAACAGAUAAGAGAUCGAAGCAUGUGGUGGCUACACCACUUCUUUGCAUGUUGAAUAUGUUGGCUGCAUGUCCUUACAUUUAUUUUAACUAAAAAUUGAAUAAUUACAUAAAAAGAAGGGCUAAAUUAAGCGGGGACAUAAAUAUUAUUUGCCAGUUUAUGGAGAAUGAGAGCUACCAGGAAGAACAAGAAGUAAAUUUCAAUUCAACUAAAUUAAACCACAAAAAGAAAAAAUCUGACUUUGCUUCUAUAAUUUUUUGCGGAUUAUAUAUUUCUAAAAUCCUUGGAAAAAGUUCAUGUUUACAUUGGCUUUACGAGAGUACUAAAUGGGAAAUACCAUAGAUAAUUGACAUCCUUAAUUUAUAGAAAUUGCAUAAAUAAAAAUUUUAAUUCCAAAUUAAUUAGUUAAAUCCUAUAAUCUAAUAAUUAAUAUUAUCUGUUCAAUAUCUUCAUGUCAUCAAUCACCCCCCUUUUGUGGCAGAAGAAAUCAAUACCUUUCAGAUUGAAUGUUGAUUAUAUAUGAGCCACUUAAUUUGUUCUCUAAAAAAAAUUAUUGCUUCUGCUAUGUUUUUUGAUCAUUAUAUAGUCAGAAAUUUUUAAAUGCUGUGCGACUCAUUAUCUUGCUGAUAUAAUGUUGUAGGAGGAGGCUUGGGCUGCUGGUGGCAGCGGAAUUCUUCUAAAAACCAAGAAUAGUGGGAAGACAUGGAUUCGUGACAAAGCAGCUGAUAACAUUGCUGCCAAUCUGUAUUCUGUAAAGUGAGAUAAUUUUUUCUUCACAAUAAUGAAUUGCUUUACUUAAUUCUAUCAAAAAUAUUUUGAAUAAAUGGCACCUAAGCAUUUCUGCAUCAUCAUCGUCAUUAUCAUUUCCAAAUAUAUACUCACUUUUUGCUUCAUUCUAUAUUUACUUUAGUUUGAAACAUUUGUCUACUGAAAAUUUAUUAUUAAAAUUUUCUGGAAGAUGAUUCAUUCUACUGAAAAUUUAUUAUUAAACGUCUGUCUUGCGCCAUUGAUAAAAAUUUUAAUAUCAAUUUUCUUUUCUCCAGCAUUUCGAUUAGUCUAGAACCUCACAACUCGUUAAUAUAUCUGCUGCAGGUUUAUCAAUGACAAACAAGGGUUUGUGCUAGGGAAUGAUGGUGUCUUACUAAAAUAUCUAGGGUGAAUCAACAGCAUGAUAUGGUAAAAUAGUUUUGAGCCCUAUUAUUUCCUUUCACUUGAAUAUGCAUUUGUUUACCUAAAGUGAGAGAUAUAGAAAUGCACUCUGAAUGUGACUUUUCCAGCAUGGAGGAGUAAGUUUGGCUAAGCUUAAAAAAUUUAUUUAUAGGUAAAUAAGUUUUUAAUAUAAAUAACCUUUAUAGUUGUCAUAGUUGGAAAUAAGUUGCCUAUGUUGCAAGUAAGGUGUGAGUUACUUUCAAAUAAGUUACUUUUUUACGUAAAAAUAAGAAAAAGGUCAGUUAUUAUCCCUGUUCCUUUUUAAGCUUAGCCAAACAUGCAAGCUUUGACUCUUGAAAAAGUCAGCUAAAAAGAUCUGUUUGAGCCACAUUUUUUCAAAAAAAUACAUUUUUAAACAGUAAUUUGAUAUCAUUUCAACUACACAUUUUCCAUUAAUACACUAUUCAAAAAUGCAUUCUUAAUAUGGCUCAAACAAGGGCCUAAUGUGUGUGAUUUAUUGGACUUCUUGUUUCGUAUGCGACUUUAGCAAAAUUGUACCAAUUUUCCGUGUACUAAUAUUUUUGCAGGUUUCCUUAAUGAUGCUUGAGUUUUGUGAUGCUGAACUUGAGUUCUAUAGGUAUAUCAUAUUAUAUAUCAUCUGCUGUGAAAAGCAGAUACUUGAAUGAAAGACACUGUUGUUACAUUGUAAAUGUGAGGGAUACUUCCUCAUUCAAACUUCUUCAAAUCAUCAAUUAUAGAGUGUUGAUAAUGUCAUAGUUCUGCGAGGUUUUUCAGUGUCAGUGUGACAGUAUAAAACUACGUUAAGUGUCGGUAUAUAUUUGUUAAAAAAUGGUUUAUUCAUUUUAAAAAUUAAACUUCUUAGUCUGUUACAGAAUAAUAUUAGUUGUAUAAUUGACGGAUUUAUAGGGACCUAAUUAGCUAAUUACCAUAAUUAGACAGAUUGUAUUAGUAUAUAUACACACGGUUUCUUAUGAAUAAUAUACGGAAAAUAUUCUCCCAAUACCUCUGUUGAAUUACAUGGUAUCAAAGCCUACCUUUGGGAUUUCUGAUUCUUGGGUGAAUUUCGUUGGUCACUGAGUCCGGUGUGUGUGUCGCCUCAGUGUGUGUAGCAUUGGUGUGGGAGAUCGACUGUCGGAUCAUUGGCAUCUCCAUCUGCAUGUGCUACGAUCGAGGGCGAC